rnacentral:rRNA from 1 species
CUACGGGCCGCAGCAGUGGGGAAUAUUGGACAAUGGGGGAAACCCUGAUCCAGCAAUGCCGCGUGUGUGAAGAAGGCCUGCGGGUUGUAAAGCACUUUCGGUUGGGAGGACUGCUUCUAGCACUAAUAUUGUUGGAAGUUGACGUCACCUUCAGAAGAAGCACCGGCUAACUCCGUGCCAGCAGCCGCGGUAAUACGGAGGGUGCAAGCGUGAAUCGGAAUUACUGGGCGUAAAGCGCGCGUAGGCGGCUAGAUCAGUCGGGUGUGAAAGCCCCGGGCUUAACCUGGGAACUGCAUCCGAUACUGUCUAGCUUGAGUACAGGGGAGGAGAGUGGAAUUCCACAUGUAGCGGUGAAAUGCGUAGAUAUGUGGAGGAACACCAAAGGCGAAGGCAGCUCUCUGGCCUGAUACUGACGCUGAGGUGCGAAAGCGUGGGGAGCAAACAGGAUUAGAUACCCGAGUAGUC